UGAAUUUGUGAGAUCUGUGAGGUUCGGGUGGGGUUCCGUGUACAGUUUUGUAAAUAAUUGAUUGUACCAUUAUUGUGCCAGUGAUCAGUGGACGCAAGUUGAAAAAUAAUUGGUCAAUAAGUGAUUGUUUCACUGUGCCUUGAAGACAUGGCUUGCUAAUCUUUAUCUACGAUAAAGAGUGACUGUGGGCCAGCGGGGCUGCGCCGGCACCUGGUCUCCGUCGAGCCGUGACCGAGCCGCUGCCACUGCAGCCGCGGGUGCCCAGCCGGCGGCGCCGUCCGAUGGGCGUCAGUAGGUCGUCGCCGCGCCGCUCCCGCCGCCAGCCGGGCGCGUGACGCCGCCGCCGCCGCCCCCGCCCCGGCCGCCAACACGUCUCACUUCGGCAUCGCGGCGUCCCGCUACUUCGGCGGAGGGCCGGGCGCCGCGCCGCGAGCCAUGCAGAAGACGGGCAAGGAGAAGACCCCGGCGGCGGAGGAGGGCGCCCGCCGCGCCGCCCGCCUGCCCUCCUCCAGCCGGGCCACCGUGCAGAGCACCGGCUCGCGCCAGUCCAGCUCCAGCUCUGGAGGUGUGCUCAUGGUCGGAUCCAACUUCAGGGUCGGCAAAAAGAUCGGCUGCGGCAACUUUGGCGAGCUGCGCCUGGGCAAGAACAUGUACAAUGGCGAACAUGUCGCCAUCAAGCUGGAACCGAUGAAGUCCAAGGCGCCGCAGCUGCACCUUGAGUACCGGUUUUACCGUCAGCUGGGCACUCACGAGGGCGUGCCUCGGGUGCACUAUUUCGGCCCGUGCGGACGCUACAACGCGCUCGUCAUGGAGCUACUGGGGCCCAGUCUGGAGGACCUCUUCGACCUCUGUGAUCGCAAGUUCACGUUGAAAACCGUGUUACUCAUAGCCAUUCAAUUGUUACAUAGGAUAGAGUUUGUGCACUCGAAGCACCUGAUUUACCGGGAUGUGAAACCGGAAAACUUCCUCAUCGGUCGCAGCUCGAACAAACGGGACAAGUGCAUCCACAUCAUAGGUGUCUAUGUGGCCAGAUUUCGGUUUAGCGAAGGAGUACAUAGACCCGGAGACUCACCGGCAUAUACCGUACCGGGAGAACAAGAGUCUGACGGGCACCGCGCGCUACAUGAGCAUCAACACCCACCUCGGGAAAGAGCAGAGUCGGCGGGACGACCUGGAGGCGCUGGGCCACAUGUUCAUGUACUUCCUGCGCGGCAGCCUGCCCUGGCAGGGUCUCCAGGCAGAGACCCUCAAGGAGCGCUACCAGAAGAUCGGAGACACCAAGCGGGCCACGCCCGUCGAGGUGCUCUGCGAAAACUACCCAGAGGAGAUGGCUGCCUACCUGCGCUACGUGCGGCGGUUGGACUUUUUCGAGACGCCCGACUACGAUCACCUGAGGAAGCAGUUCCAGGACCUGUUCGACCGCAAGGGCUACGUGGACGACGGCGAGUUCGAUUGGACGGGACGCACUAUGGCUCGCAAGCUUCGUCGUCUGCGAGCUUUGCCCAAGUAGCAUCCAGUAUUUCUGGCUGUUGGCCCGACCCGCGCUGCCUUGACCCGACCUGACCCGACCUGACCUGGCCUGACCUGUCUCCCUGCUGCUGACCCGGCGCUGUCUCCGAUUGUGACCGUCUCGUCCGCCCGCCCGCUCCUUCUCCGCUGGCCUCUGUCUUCACUUAUCCUGUCUUCUAGUCCUCGACGCCGGUUGGCUCCCUCCAGACGGCUACCGAGGUGGUGGUGUCCCCGACUCGCGAGAGGCAUCCGGCCACCAACAAGGGUAGCAAAGCUCCGUCGGCCUGGCCGGAGGGGCAGCGGACCAUCAACACCACGCUGGGCAGCACGCUGACGCCGGCUGACCGGCACGGCUCCGUCCAGGUGAUGAGCUCUGCGAACGGCGAGCUGGGCCCGGACGACCCGACUGCCGGUCAGAGCAUCACACCCAUCACCGCCCAGCCAGACGUGGACGUCGUCGACGAGACCAAGUGCUGCUGCUUCUUCAAGCGGCGAAGAAAGAAGUCGCGCGGUCAGAAGUGACGUCUGCCGUGGUGCGAGCGGCGAGCGGGCGCCCGCGUGGGACUGCUGCCGGCCGACUCGGAGGACUGACUCUGAGUCGCUGCGGGUGACUCCGAGUCUGUGGAUGACUCCCGAGUCUCUGUUAAUGACUCAGACGGUGGAGAGUCGCCCGGUGGCAGCGAGAGUCGUCCGUCGUCCCGGCACCGUCCGCGCCUCUCCCGAGUCCCGCCGCUCCGGUGGCAGUACGCUGGGUCAGUCAGACCCAUAGCCGACUCCGAGUGGCCGUCCGCUCCGACUGCGGACCCGGCGGUGACCUGCGCGCCGCGCGGCGGCCGUGUGUACCUGACGGACAGCUCGCCGGACGGGCAGGUGGCGUCCCAGUAAAGCACCUGACCUCGCCGCGAUGGCCACCGCAGACAGUCGCAGACGGGUGCCGCGUGCGUCGUCAAGAGUGGAUGUUUUAGUGCGGCGCGGCGGUGGUCGUCGGGUGAUCGUUUGGAGGGUCAGAGACGUCUUGGAGUCGGUGACAGGAGCUGGCGCGGAUGCCGUGGUUGUGUCGGACGGCUGGUAAUCUGAGCUGCGUGGACUGGUGUGAGAGCCGUGUUAGAGUCGCAGUGAGAGCCGGUGAGAGUCGCGGUGACAGCGACGGCCGGUCGGUGAGAGGCCAGGCAGCUGGGCAGGCGGGUCGCCGUACCGCCAGAGCUAAUCGAGAGACAGCACGAGCGGCAGAGAGCGUGUUUCGAGGACGGCGCAGUGUGUGUAGCCCGGGUCAGCUGCUGUGGACGGAUGGUAGUCCGGGCAGAUGACCUCUGACGUGUGUGAGUGGCGACCUUUGACCUCACUAUGGGCGGCGCCGCGCCGACCUCCGGUAGAGCCUCGGUUCAGUUGAGCGACGCCCAGAGUCGCCCGUGUAUGUUACUGUUUGUUGCCCCUACUGUGGUGAGUGCCAUUGUAUUUGUACGUAUCCCCAGACACGACCGUGAUUUUAUUUAAUUAUGAAUAAAGUGCGUCAACGAUU
rnacentral:misc_RNA from 1 species